GACGAACGCUGGCGGCGUGCUUAACACAUGCAAGUCGAACGGAAAGGCCCUGCUUUUGUGGGGUGCUCGAGUGGCGAACGGGUGAGUAACACGUGAGUAACCUGCCCUUGACUUUGGGAUAACUUCAGGAAACUGGGGCUAAUACCGGAUAGGAGCUCCUGCUGCAUGGUGGGGGUUGGAAAGUUUCGGCGGUUGGGGAUGGACUCGCGGCUUAUCAGCUUGUUGGUGGGGUAGUGGCUUACCAAGGCUUUGACGGGUAGCCGGCCUGAGAGGGUGACCGGCCCCAUGGGGCCUGAAAGACGGCCGCGACUCCUAGGGGUGGGAGGUGGGGGGAUUUUGGCACCACGGGCGGACGGCUGAUGCAUACCCGCCGCAUGGGGGGUGGCGGCCUUGGGGUUGUAAACCUUUUUCGACUGUGAGGAAGGGUGGGGGCCGGUAAUGGGAAAAGAGGUACCGGAUAACUCAGU
rnacentral:rRNA from 1 species